rnacentral:lncRNA from 1 species
CUCUCAUUACGUGAAUUUAACGAAUGAACGUUUUAUGAUUUUCAUUUUUCAUUUCCUUCGAAUGUGGUAAGUUAUGAGUAUUUUGCAAGUUUGAGGUAAGGGGUUUAAGUUUUUAGAGCCAGUUCUGGUAAAGGCGAAAUGAAAUGCAACUGCUUUUGGAGUUAAUUUGUGGUUUUACUGUGGUACUGUUUGUUGCAAUUCAACCUUAGUGUCAAUGGUUAAGAUGCAAUCGUCAAAUAUGUGUCAAUUUUCCCCAUCAGUGACUCCACAAUCUCUUUACUUUUCGAACGUGGGAUGGGACAGUUCUUCACCUUCUCGCAUUGGUUUCUCUUCAUUUAUCGAGAAUGAUCGGAUUUUUAUCGUGUGUGAAAGAUGAGCGCAAUGCAUGCUCGUGUAUAAGUUAUUUUUAUCGAGAAUGAUCAAACCAAACCAGCUGAUUAACCAAAUUCAAAAAAAUUGAUGAAAAUCGUUCGAGAAUCAAAGACCAGCUGAAGGCAAUCCUGUGAAUGAAAGUUUGCUUCAACUAUAUUUCCAAUGUUUAUUCUCAACAUUGUUGUGUUGCCUCUGAACUCCAUCGCGAAAGCGAUCAUUUGAAUGUUUAUGAAUGGUUUGGCAUGUGUGUGCAGUAAUCAUGAUGUUCUUUUCGGAUUUAGUUUUCUUAAUAAAACACAUUCAGGAUCAGAUUAGUUUGGUACAUGUUCUUGUAAACUGAUCACUCUCUUUAACUGAUAACCUUGAUCAACUUGGUGAAAAUAUGGCUUGAAUCCUUAGGCCAUCUCCAACCGAAGGGUUCAAAGGGCAAGAGAGCCGAAAAACGCCUGAAAACCGUCUCCAACCAAAGGCUAGGCCAAAGAGCUCGUGGGCCCCACGGAAUCUGAAAGGGCCAAAGGGCUGGCCCAAUCCAGACUGACCAGAAAUGUGAGCAUUCCACCAAAUUUUUAAAUGCAACGGCUAGCUGACAUCAGCUAACCAUUAUUUUUUAUUUUUUUUUACAGGUUUUUUUUUAUUCAAAUUUUUUUUUGUAUAACUUUUAUUUUUAAAUUCUAUUUCUUUCUAUAACUUCCUAUAACUUCUAUUUUACAAAAUUUGUUUCGUAUU